CCUACGGGAGGCAGCAGUAGGGAAUCUUCCACAAUGGACGAAAGUCUGAUGGAGCAACGCCGCGUGAGUGAAGAAGGGUUUCGGUUCGUAAAGCUCUGUUGGUAGUGAAGAAAGAUAGAGGUAGUAACUGGCCUUUAUUUGACGGUAAUUACUUAGGAAGUCACGGCUAACUACGUGCCAGCAGCCGCGGUAAUACGUAGGUGGCAAGCGUUGUCCGGAUUUAUUGGGUGUAAAGCGAGUGCAGGCGGUUCCAUAAGUCUGAUGUGAAAGCCUUCGGCUCAACCGGAGAAUUGCAUCAGAAACUGGUGGACUUGAGUGCAGAAGAGGAGAGUGGAACUCCAUGUGUAGCGGUGGAAUGCGUAGAUAUAAGGAAGAACACCAGUGGCGAAGGCGGCUCUCUGGUCUGCAACUGACGCUGAGGCUCGAAAGCAUGGGUAGCGAACAGGAUUAGAUACCCCUGUAGUC
rnacentral:rRNA from 1 species